rnacentral:rRNA from 1 species
AAAUGAAUAGACGGGGACCCGCACAAGCGGUGGAGCGUGUUGUUUAAUUCGAUGGUAAGCGAAGAACCUUACCAAGGCUUGAAAUCCCGAUAGAGAUUCUUCGAAAGAAGAGUUGCAUUUAGUUGGAUCGGUGACAGGUGCUGCAUGGCCGUCGUCAGCUCGUGUCGUGAGAUGUAUGGUUAAGUCCAUUAACGAGCGCAACCCUUAUGUUUAGUUGGAUUUUUCUAAACAGACUGCCCUGGCAACAGGGAGGAGGGGGGGGAUGAUGUCAGGUCAGUAUUGCCCUUACGCCUUGGGCUACAAACACGCUACAAUGGCCGGUACAAAGGGCUGCCAACCCGCGAGGGGGAGCAAAUCCCAUCAAAGCCGGUCUCAGUUCGGAUAGCAGGCUGAAACUCGCCUGCUUGAAGCUGGAAUCGCUAGUAACGGUAGGUCAGCACACUACCGUGAAUACGUUCCCGGGUCUUGUACACACCGCCCGU